CGGGGUGACUAGUGACAGAGUGAGAGAGAGGGUGACACAGUGACAGAGUGAGGGAGGGGGUGACUAGUGACAGAGUGAGGGAGGUGGUGACUGUCACUAGUCACCCCCUUCCCUCCCUCUGUCACUAGUCACCCCUUCCUCACUUUGUCACUAGUCACCCCUUCCCUCCCUAACUCUGUCACUAGUCACCACUUCCCUCCCUCACUCUGUCACUAGUCACCCCC